rnacentral:rRNA from 1 species
UACGGGGGGGGCAAGCGUUGUUCGGAAUUACUGGGCGUAAAGCGUACGCAGGCGGCUUUGCAAGACAGGUGUGAAAUCCCCGGGCCUAACCUGGGAACUGCAUUUGUGACUGCAUAGCUAGAGUCUGUCAGAGGGGGGUGGAAUUCCACGUGUGAGCAGUGAAAUGCGUAGAGAUGUGGAAGAACACCGAUGGCGAAGGCAGCCCCCUGGGAUGAGACUGACGCUCAUGUACGAAAGCGUGGGGAGCAAACAGG